AGAUCUGAUGGUAAUCUGGCUGUGACAUCUGUCACUCUAUUGAAGGCCAGGGUUGAUUUGGCCGACCUGGGUGUCUCCUUCCUCCCUCAUCACUCCAUGUGCAUCCCUCCCUAAGCUGUGUGCUCAGUGGAAGAGGAUGUCCGUCUCUGAUAGAGGAGGACCAUUCUUCUGUCAAGGGUAUAUGACUAACUGUGCUCCCCUUCUAGACCCUCCAAACAAGCUCUCAAGGUUCAUUUGUAGGAGAAGGUAGGGUAGUCAAGGUUUAAAGACUCCAGACACAUCCAAAUGAGAUGCUGCAUGUGGCAGUCUGCCUUUCUUA
ensembl:misc_RNA 7SK 7SK RNA